GUUUAACGUCGUUGACUUUUUAGCACAUGUUUGACCGUUCGUCUUAUUCAAAAAAUUUAAGUAAUUAUUAAUUCUUUUCAUAUCAUUUGAUUCAUUGUUAAAUAUAUUUUUAUGUAGGCAUAUAAUUUUACAUAUUUCACAAAAGUUUUUAAUAAGACGAACGGUCAAACAUGUGCUAAAAAGUCAACGGCGUCAAAUAUU
rnacentral:pre_miRNA from 1 species